GAGCUCUCAAUCUGUCAAUCCUUCCGGUGUCCGGGCCUGGUGAGAUUUCCCGUGUUGAGUCAAAUUAAGCCGCAGGCUCCACUCCUGGUGGUGCCCUUCCGUCAAUUCCUUUAAGUUUCAGCUUUGCAACCAUACUUCCCCCGGAACCCACAAGCUUUGGUUUCCCGGAAGCUCCCUGCGGGGUCUUGUUUUUACACACCCGCAGAUCGCUAGCUGGCAUCGUUUAUGGUUAGAACUAGGGCGGUAUCUGAUCGCCUUCGAACCUCUAACUUUCGUUCUUGAUUAAUGAAAACACUCUUGGCAAAUGCUUUCGCAGUAGUUAGUCCUCAAACGGUCCAAGAAUUUCACCUCUGUCGUCUGAGUACUAAUGCCCCCGGCUGUCCCUAUUAAUCAUUAAGUCAAUUUCCGAAAACCAAAAAAAUAGAAACGACUUCCUAUUCCAUUAUUCCAUGCACAAAUAUUCAAGCUUUGUAGCCUGCUUUGAGCACUCUAAUUUUUUCAAAGUAAACCUGCAAGCGACCGGAGACACCCAAUGAAGGGGACCCCCAACCCUCUUGCAAAAAUACGAACAAAUGGGGCAGUACCGUCAAAUAACGAACCGCCCCCUGUUCGCCGAGAUCCAACUACGAGCUUUUUAACCGCAACAACUUUAAUAUACGCUAUUGGAGCUGGAAU
rnacentral:rRNA from 1 species